CAUCAUGCAGUACCAGUGACAAACUCUUUAAGUAGGAGCCUCGCUGGUACCAAUUUAAAUUUCUGCCCACUUUUACAAAGAGCAUGUUGCAGUGGUCGGAUCAAGAUGUAAUCAAAGCCUGAAUUAAAAGUUGUCAAAGCUGACUGGCUUGAGAAUAGUUACAGCUUGGAUGCUAAACAUAAUUGCCCAAACAUGAUAUUUGCCAUAGCAAUUAUCUAAGGAAGCCAGUGGCACCUGAGCAUUAUGUAAUGCUACUCUAAUUGUAGUAUUCUUUGUAUUGUAGUAUUGUUUCAGGAAGAGGUCAAACAUUUCUGGUGGAAGCUAAAAUUCAAUCUUCAAAUUAAGUGUUUGGUUUUUUUACCAAACAGCACACCUGUCUUAGUGUUCAGGGAUACUGACAGCUUCUAUAAAUCAGUGUAUUGUUAAAUCCUGAGCUUUGUCAAAAGUUUGGACAAUACAACAAAGAUGAUUCAAAUUCUUUUAGGCUGUCUGAUUCAUUCUCCUUGUACCCCCAGUUCAUGUUCCAUUUGCGACGAUCUCCA